AGAAUCAACGCUGGCGGCGUGCCUAACACAUGCAAGUCGAACGAGAAAGUGGAGCAAUCCAUGAGUAAAGUGGCGCACGGGUGAGUAACACGUGACUAACCUACCCUCGAGUGGGGAAUAACUUCGGGAAACCGAGGCUAAUACCGCAUAAAACCUAAGGGUCAAAGGAGCAAUCCGUUUGAGGAGGGGGUCGCGGCAGAUUAGUUAGUUGGCGGGGUAAUGGCCCACCAAGACGAUGAUCUGUAUCCGGCCUGAGAGGGCGCACGGACACACUGGAACUGAAACACGGUCCAGACUCCUACGGGAGGCAGCAGUGGGAAUUUUGCGCAAUGGGGGAAACCCUGACGCAGCAACGCCGCGUGGAGGAUGAAAUCCCUUGGGAUGUAAACUCCUUUCGAUCGGGAAGAUAAUGACGGUACCGGAAGAAGAAGCCCCGGCUAACUUCGUGCCAGCAGCCGC
rnacentral:rRNA from 1 species